rnacentral:ncRNA from 1 species
AAUCUUCGGGGUAGGGUGAAAGUCCCAACCGGCAGUAUAGUCUGCGAGCCGCUGUCGAAGGCGGCAUGAUACGGUGUGAUUCCGUAACCGACGGUAAAGUCCGGAUGAGAGAAGAU